CCCCUAUAUGUUAUCCGCUUCAAUUGCUUCACCUUCUUAAAAUCAGGCAUACGAUAAUUUCUUUCCACCUCCCAUGCAAGCUGCGACAUGCCGUUGAAUGACGACUUGGCAACUUUUACAUCCGUCACUUCUCUUGGGAAAGGUAUUCGAACAUCGUAAACACCUCUCUCAGGACAGUGGAGACGAAUGUCGAAACCAAGCCUAUCAACCCAUAUCAUCUUUGCUU
rnacentral:misc_RNA from 1 species